GACGAGCUGUCCUAACGUUGUUCGGAAUCACUGGGCUUAAAGGGCGCGUAGGCGGUCCGACAAGUCAGGGGUGAAAUCCUGCAGCUUAACUGCAGAAGCGCCUUUGAUACUGUCGGUCUUGAGGGAGAUAGGGGUGUGCGGAACUCACAGUGGAGCGGUGAAAUGCGUUGAUAUUGUGAGGAACGCCGGAGGCGAAAGCGGCGCACUGGAUCUCUUCUGACGCUGAGGCGCGAAAGCUAGGGGAGCAAACAGG
rnacentral:rRNA from 1 species